rnacentral:rRNA from 1 species
GGAUAAGCUACUAAGAGCUAACGGCGGAUGCCUUGGCAUCGGGAGGCGAAGAAGGACGCGGCAAGCUGCGAUAAGCUUCGGGGAGCUGUUAACAGGCUUUGAUCCGGAGAUUUCCGAAUGGGGAAACCCGGCAGGAGUCAUAUCCUGUCAUUCAUUGCUGAAUACAUAGGUGAUGAAGGCGAACGCAGGGAACUGAAACAUCUAAGUACCUGCAGGAAAAGAAAUCAAUUGAGAUUCUGUGAGUAGCGGCGAGCGAAAGCGGAUUAGCCCAAACCGGACAUUGUCCGGGGUUGUAGGACCCCAACGCGGGAUGUAGGAUCGAUAGUGGAACAGUAUGGAAAGGCUGACCAUAGACGGUGAUAGUCCGGUACACGAAAUCGAUCCACACCCUAGGGAGUUCCUGAGUACCACGGGACACGUGAAACCCUGUGGGAAUCCGGGAGGACCAUCUUCCAAGGCUACAUACUACCCGAUGACCGAUAGUGAACGAGUACCGUGAGGGAAAGGUGAAAAGAACCCCGGGAGGGGAGUGAAAUAGAAACUGAAACCGUUAGCUUACAAGCAGUUGGAGCCCUAUGUCGCAAGACAGGGUGACAGCGUGCCUUUUGCAUAAUGAGUCAACGACUUACCCUAUGCAGCGAGGUUAAGCCGCGAGGUGGAGCCGCAGCGAAAGCGAGUCUUAACAGGGCGCUCAGUUGCAUGGGGUAGACCCGAAACCGGGUGAUCUAUCCAUGGCCAGGGUGAAGUCUCGGUAACACGAGAUGGAGGCCCGAACCGAUAUAGGUUGAAAACUGUUCGGAUGAGCUGUGGAUAGGAGUGAAAGGCUAAUCAAACUCGGUGAUAGCUGGUUUUCUCCGAAAUAUAUUUAGGUAUAGCCUCACAUAUGACUGACGGAGGUAGAGCACUGACAAGGCUAGGGGUCCCACCGGAUUACCAACCCUUUUCAAACUCCGAAUGCCGUCAAGUUCCUAGUGUGGGAGUCAGACUGUGGGAGAUAAGUUCCAUGGUCGAAAGGGAAAGAGCCCAGACCGUCAGCUAAGGUCCCGAAAUCUAUGCUAAGUGGGAAAGGAUGUGGAAUUGCGGAUACAACCAGGAGGUUGGCUUAGAAGCAGCAACCCUUCAAAGAUAGCGUAAUAGCUCACUGGUCUAGUGAUACCGCGCCUAAAAUUCAACGGGGCUAAGCAUAGUACCGAAGCUACGGAUCGAAAUUUAUUUCGAUGGUAGGAGAAUAUUGUGGCCGCCUGAGAAGGUACACCGAAAGGAGUGCUGGAGGUUCCACAAGAGCUUAUGUUGACACGAGUAGCGAUAAACAAGGUGAGAAACCUUGUCGCCGAAAGCCUAAGGUUUCCUGUAGUCAAGUUAAUCUGCUCAGGGUUAGUCGGCCCCUAAGGCGAGGCUGAGAAGCGUAGUCGAUGGGAAACAGGUUAAUAUUCCUGUACCGUGUGUACAAUGUUAUGGUAAGGGGGGACGAAGAAGGUAAGGCCAUCCGGGCGUUGGUUGUCCCGGUUCAAGCGUGUAGGUGGAGGACUUUGGCAAAUCCGGGUCCUUGAUAACACCGAGGCGUGACGACGAUGUCUUUCAGACAAUAAAGUGGCUGGGUCCAUGCUUCCAGGAAAAGCCUCGUAUCUAGUUGUACGUGCGACCGUACCGUAAACCGACACAGGUGGGCUGGUAGAGAAUACCAAGGCGCUUGAGAGAACUCUGGUUAAGGAACUCGGCAAAAUAGCACCGUAACUUCGGGAGAAGGUGUGCCUGCGGGGUGUAGUUAUUUACUAACGAAGCCUAAGCAGGUUGCAGUGAAAUGGGGGGAGCGACUGUUUACUAAAAACACAGGACUCUGCGAAGUCGAAAGACGAAGUAUAGGGUCUGACGCCUGCCCGGUGCCGGAAGGUUAAGGGGACAUGUCAGCGCAAGCGAAGCAUCGAACCGAAGCCCCGGUAAACGGCGGCCGUAACUAUAACGGUCCUAAGGUAGCGAAAUUCCUUGUCGGGUAAGUUCCGACCUGCACGAAUGGCGUAACGAUUUCCCCACUGUCUCAACCAGAGACUCAGCGAAACUGUAGCACCGGUGAAGAUGCCGGUUACCCGCAACAAGACAGAAAGACCCCGUGAACCUUUACUAUAGCUUGGCAUUGGUUUUUGAGGCAACAUGUGUAGGAUAGGUGGGAGGCUUUGAAGUGGGCACGCCAGUGUUCAUGGAGCCACCCUUGAAAUACCACCCUUGUUGCCUUAGGAAUCUAACUGCGGUCCGUUAUCCGGAUCCAGGACAUUGUCUGGUGGGUAGUUUGACUGGGGCGGUCGCCUCCCAAAGAGUAACGGAGGCGCGCGAUGGUUCCCUCAGGCUGAUUGGAAACCAGCCGUAGAGUGUAAAGGCAUAAGGGAGCUUGACUGCGAGAGAGACAUCUCGAGCAGGUACGAAAGUAGGUCUUAGUGAUCCGGCGAUUCCGCAUGGAAGGGUCGUCGCUCAACGGAUAAAAGGUACUCCGGGGAUAACAGGCUUAUCUCCCCCAAGAGUCCAUAUCGACGGGGAGGUUUGGCACCUCGAUGUCGGCUCAUCACAUCCUGGGGCUGGAGCAGGUCCCAAGGGUUUGGCUGUUCGCCAAUUAAAGUGGUACGUGAGCUGGGUUUAAAACGUCGUGAGACAGUUUGGUCCUUAUCUGUUGCGGGCGCAGGAUAUUUGAGGAGAUCUUUCCCUAGUACGAGAGGACCGGGAUGGACGAACCUAUGGUGUACCAGUUGUUCCGCCAGGGGCAUCGCUGGGUAGCUAAGUUCGGAAGGGAUAACCGCUGAAAGCAUCUAAGCGGGAAACCCACUCCAAGAUGAGAUAUCCCAUGGUGUAAACCAUCUGAAGGCUCGUUGGAGACUACAACGUUGAUAGGUCGGGUGUGGAAGUGUGGCAACACAUGGAGCUUACCGAUACUAAUCGGCCGUGCGGCUUAUCCAU